rnacentral:rRNA from 1 species
GAGUUUGAUCCUGGCUCAGAGCGAACGCUGGCGGCAGGCCUAACACAUGCAAGUCGAACGAACUCUUCGGAGUUAGUGGCGGACGGGUGAGUAACACGUGGGAACGUGCCUUUAGGUUCGGAAUAACUCAGGGAAACUUGUGCUAAUACCGAAUGUGCCCUUCGGGGGAAAGAUUUAUCGCCUUUAGAGCGGCCCGCGUCUGAUUAGCUUGUUGGUGGGGUAAUGGCCCACCAAGGCUACGAUCAGUAGCUGGUCUGAGAGGAUGACCAGCCACAUUGGGACUAAGACACGGCCCAAACUCCUACGGGAGGCAGCAGUGGGGAAUCUUGCGCAAUGGGCGAAAGCCUGACGCANNCAUGCCGCGUGUAUGAUGAAGGUCUUAGGAUUGUAAAAUACUUUCACCGGUGAAGAUAAUGACUGUAGCCGGAGAAGAAGCCCCGGCUAACUUCGUGCCAGCAGCCGCGGUAAUACGAAGGGGGCUAGCGUUGCUCGGAAUUACUGGGCGUAAAGGGAGC